rnacentral:rRNA from 1 species
GACGAACCGUGCGGACGUUAUUCGGAAUCACUGGGCUUAAAGGGCGCGUAGGCGGGUUGCCAAGUCUGUGGUGAAAUCCUUCGGCUCAACCGAAGAACUGCCGUGGAUACUGGCGACCUCGAGGGGGGUAGGGGCUUGCGGAACUGUGCGUGGAGCGGUGAAAUGCGUUGAUAUGCACAGGAACUCCGGUGGCGAAGGCGUCGAGCUGGACCCUUUUUGACGUUGAAGCGCGAAAGCCAGGGGAGCAAACGGG